CAAAAAUCAUAUAGUUUUAUUGUUUUUCUGACCUUUCUUCCUUAAAACUUGAGCAUAAGUUGUGUCUCCAACUCCAGCAUCCGCACCUGAAGAAGGAGACUUUAUCAGUUCAGCAGAACCAGUGAGACGAAGAACAACAAGCAAACACUCGAUCCUACACACACACCAACGGCCAGAUAAAAAGAUGAAGCUGUUGAGACUGAAGAACAUGACAAACACACAGAUCUGUCCGAGUAGAAACCCUCAUGUGACUUUGAGACAGUAGUGAUGCUCAUCUCUCCUGUCGUCUGAUUCUGGAUCAGUGAUCCGUCUUUAUAG